rnacentral:rRNA from 1 species
GUGGGGAAUUUUGGACAAUGGGCGAAAGCCUGAUCCAGCAAUGCCGCGUGUGUGAAGAAGGCCUUCGGGUUGUAAAGCACUUUUGUCCGGAAAGAAAUCCUUUGGGUUAAUACCUCGGAGGGAUGACGGUACCGGAAGAAUAAGGACCGGCUAACUACGUGCCAGCAGCCGCGGUAAUACGUAUGGUCCGAGCGUUAAUCGGAAUUACUGGGCGUAAAGCGUGCGCAGGCGGUUUUGUAAGACAGAUGUGAAAUCCCCGGGCUUAACCUGGGAAUUGCAUUUGUGACUGCAAGGCUAGAGUGUGUCAGAGGGGGGUAGAAUUCCACGUGUAGCAGUGAAAUGCGUAGAGAUGUGGAGGAAUACCGAUGGCGAAGGCAGCCCCCUGGGAUAACACUGACGCUCAUGCACGAAAGCGUGGGGAGCAAACAGGAUUAGAAACCCUAGUAGUCC